GCGGGUGUAGCUCAGUGGUAGAGCUCCAGCCUUCCAAGCUGGCUAUGUGGGUUCGAUUCCCAUCACCCGCU
rnacentral:tRNA from 1 species